GGCUUGGCUGAGAGGCCGGCUCGUGGGCGUAGCGGGGGUUCUCGCCGUCGGUUGGAGUGUCCCACUGUCGUGGCUUUGGUCGUAUGGUGUUGGCUCCCUUUAGUGGGAGUUGGCUUCUGCCGGUCGGGGUCGGGCGCUCCCCUCCCCCUUUUUCCCUGGUUUUGGGGUAUCUGGGGCCGCUUUUUCACAAGCACCUUGAGGAACAUGAAUUUUAGAGACCGAGCUUGGGGCCCUUGUGUUGCCUUUGCAAGUGAUGCAGCCCAAGUGAAAAAUCAAAAUAACGACUCUCAGCAACGGAUAUCUUGGCUCUUGCAACGAUGAAGAACGCAGCGAAAUGCGAUACCUAGUGUGAAUUGCAGAAUUCCGCGAAUCAUCGAGUCUUUGAACGCAAGUUGCGCCCGAGGCUUGUCCCGAGGGCAUGCCUGCCUGAGCGUCACCGCACUCCCACCUGGGCAGUCUCCAGUGUGGAAUUGGCCGUCCGGGAUCUGGCUUGAAGCUACGUGUCUCGGUGGGCUGAAAUUUAGCUAUCUGGGUGCAGCCAAAGAGAGAGGCUGCGGGAAGGUGAUUUGCUGUUUGCUGAGCAAAGUCUAAUUGGACGGCGCCUCUCGCUUUCGGUGAUCCA
rnacentral:rRNA from 1 species